rnacentral:misc_RNA from 1 species
CAGCAAAUAAACGACACCGACAGACACUCUACACGCGGUGCUUCGGGCGCCGCUGGUCUCGUGCAGCGCCCGCCCCCCCCCUCCCCAUCCGUCGAGGUAUGCAGUCCACUGCAACAGCGGCAGAAGUAGCGAUGGAUCCUCUGUGUGCAGACGCCCACGAUGCUGCCGCCGCUAGCGAAGUGGAGACAAGUGAGGCCGAUGGCGCACCUGAUGCCACUGUUGCCGUACUCCCUGUGGAGCAGGCAGUGGAUGCGUCGACCCCAGCGCAGGAAGGGCAGCAGGCAAUCGCUGGCGAAGCGAGCGAUGACUUCGGACAUGGCCUGUGCGAGGUGCAGGUCAGGGCUCCGGAGUUUCUGCAAGCUCCUUCUGACCAGCCGGCAUCGCCGCAGCUGAGCGCAGCGACACACGGGGUCGCAACGACGCCGCGGAACUCCACGGCGUUUGUGCCGAAUAUGCCGGCGGCGUCGGCGGUGAAUGAGGUUUAUGUGCGCGCACCGCCUUACGCGUAUGCGACGACGACGGCAAUCAACGCACACAGUGCUGCUGCUCCGGAAGACGACGCCGGACCACUGGAAUCGAGGAUCUCUUCCGCGGAGACGAGGCUCGCCACGGCAGCAGCAGCCGAUGGAAGUGACAGCCAGCAGCAGCAGGAUCAUGAUCAGCAGGUGGACGGCACCGCAUCCAGCCCGCGCGGAAUACCAACGGCUGCUGCGGCGGUGGCCGACUCGCAGGCCUGGGUUAUCAACUUCGCACCCAGUAAGCCGAUCCCGACGCGCAAGAUGACAAAGAAGGAGAGGGAAACAAUCAAGCAGUUGCGACUGCGCAGUCAGACCAUCGGCUCAGGUGCACCGACUGCCACCAUGACCGCGCUGGCAGCCGGUGACGGCCUCGGCGCGGACAGCGAGGGAAACACUGUUGUCACGCUUGGCGUCGGCACGUCAGCCGCAUCGCCGUCUUCGCCGCUGCAGGUGGUCCACCUCGAAACCCUGGCCGUAGACCGCGAGGCGCUUAUUCCAACGAACCUGCCAACGACGCGGGCCGACCUCGAGGCGAGGCUAGUACUGCGCCUUCCACGCUUACUGUGUGUAAGCAAGCAGUACCCACGCGGCUGCGGCAUAGCCUCGCUGGCGUCCGUGUACAACUACCUUUACAGCUGGCUGGGCGAGAGCGCCGUCGGGGCCAACCGCGCACCGCACUCGCAGGAGGAGCUCAUGUCGAUCCUCGGCUUUGAGCCGCCCUUCGGCGACAUUGCGUGGGGGCCGUUCACCGGCAACGCCACGCUGAUCCGCUGGUUCCACGCGCUGAACCGGCACUUCGGCGUGCGCGGGCGUGCGUAUAUUCUAUACAAGGCCCACGGUAGUGGCAAUACAGCGCACCUCUACGCCAACAACACCGAGGCGCUGGCAGCCGUGAAGGCUGCGCUGCGCGACCCGCACUGCGCCCUCAUAUACCACUGCUACAACCACUACAUGGUGCCAAUCGGUUACCAGGACAUUCCGCUUGCGCAGACGGACUUCCUCAAGCCGGACGUGCCCGAGUCGAACUGUGACACGACUAUCUUCAUUGGGGAGGUCAGCCGCGGUCGGCACGAGGCGAUGUACGCGCGCAAGUGGUCGCAGAUUGUGAAGGAUAUCGAGUGCAAGUCACCCUUCUUCUUCAACAUUCGCCAUCCUGAGCAGGGCGUGCAGCGGCGCGAGCCCAAGAAGAAGUCGUACAAGGAGGGGGUGAGCGAAGGUGCUGGCGCCGCUGCCCCGCAUGCGACCACCGCCGCUACCACCGCGGCGGCGGUGGCAACGGAAGAGGAGAAGGAGGUGGAGGAGCCGCAGCCACCGCAGCCGGAGCCGGAGGGCCAAGGGCGGCAGAACAGGAGCCCGAGCGGGGUAUACAGCGCCGCUGUGAGCAUCCUAGCUGCAUCGACGAACGCCCCUCCGGGCAGCGCCGCUACUGUGCCGCACGACAUCAACGACAACGAUGUCGAUGCCGACGUCCUUGACAAUGCAGCGCGCAGCACAAGCAGCGAUACGGUCGAGAUGAUGCCCUCUGCCGCCGCCGCCACACCAUCACUGCCGUCGGCGGCGUCGCCGUCACCUUUGCAGCAGCCGCUGUCGCACUCUUCUCCGGCCCCAGGGGUGUCAACCAGAGCCGUUCUCAGGCCUGACUUCGCUGAGCCGUCGGGGGACACAGCCGGCAGUUUGUCCGUCAAGACAGAGCUGCAGCCGCAGGUAGUGGUGGAGGAAGAGCUGGCGGCUGCGGAGUGUGGCAUAAACUGUGAGGAGAGUGCUGGUGCGUCUCCCGCCGCUCGGUCGGCAUCACUGUUGCUCAGCGACGCGCCCGGAGCUCUUCUUGCGGACAACGCCAUGGCUUCGUUCACCGAAGCCAUCGACUCAGUGCCCGAACCCUCACCUCCACCAGCGUCGUCCUCACCGAGGCAAAAGCCGACGCAGUUUGGCAAUGCGUGUGCGCGUGCGGGCAAGGCAGCGGAGUCUCCCCACUCUUCGCAACCGGCGCGGUCGCCAGCCAAGUCGAAGAAGGGGCAGGGCAACUUGCACUGCAUCAUCUGCUUCCGCAAUGACGAGGUGGAGCCGCACCUGGAGCGGUACGAGGACGCGCCGGUGCCACUUGCCGGAGCCGCCGAAGCACCGCCGUGGAGGUCGUUGUCCUUGCCAUCCAGCGACAACAGCUCGAGUAGUAAUGCGGACGACGCAUGACCAUGCCCGUCGAUGCGUGCCACGUGCAGAGUUGCCACCAGCCGAUGCGACGAGGACGUGCACGAAUGGGUACGCCGUUGCGGGUGUGGGUGCAUCUGCAUGCAUGCACGUGGUCUCCGCCUCUCCGAGGAGCUUGCUCGCUCGUUCCCACAGUCGCUCUGUGCACGUGCGCCAUCCACUGCUUUGAAUACGUGUGCCUGUAGCCGCCGUAUCGCUACGCUCUCCCU